UGAAGCGGACAGCUCCAGCCUGAGGUCCCUCGGGGUACACAGAAGCUUAGGACACAGCCAGGGGUAACCCACGGGGCUCCCUUAGAACACCAGGUUCCCCUCAGAUUUCACUGUCCACCACGUAAAAGGAAAGAAAAAAAAGAAAGUCGAGGGACAAGGUAGACUUCAAACACCGGAAAAGUAGCGGUCAGGUCUUCACAGGCUUGGCGUCCAAUUGCACUGAGCACAAGUCCAUCAUCGCUAAAGAAAAUGAGCGAUAGAACAAGCAGCUGUCUGGCCCUGUCAUGUACUAUCGUGACCCGCUAUCCUGGUUAAGAGAAUGCAUUUCCUUACUGUAAGUUUACCUGCAUCUGCCAAACAAUGGAAUUCACCAUCAAUGUGCAGGAAAGGGAAUGCAGCCCCUUACAGGGACCUUCAGCAUUCUUUUGAGUUCUGCUAAUGAAGAAGAAACUCCCAGCCCCACCUCAAGAACAUCAAACAUCAUGCCAUGAUACUUCCAUUGCCCAGACUGACACAUCGCUAAGCCCUGAAAUGGAAAAACCAAAGCAGUUGGUUUUACCUUAUGGCUGGGAAAGUAAUGUGGACAGAUCAUCAGGUUCAAGGAGCAGUUGCUUGAAGACAAAACAAAGGAGCCUGGGAACAAAGAUGCUAAAAUGGCAUCACAAUUAGAAUGUGAAGAUUAGCUAUCAACAUCUCAACAUCCCUGUGUGGAGAA